CGGCGGACGGGUGAGUAACGCGUGGGUAACCUGCCCUGUACACACGGAUAACAUACCGAAAGGUAUGCUAAUACGGGAUAACAUAAGAAAUUCGCAUGUUUUUCUUAUCAAAGCUCCGGCGGUACAGGAUGGACCCGCGUCUGAUUAGCUAGUUGGUGAGGUAAUGGCUCACCAAGGCGACGAUCAGUAGCCGACCUGAGAGGGUGAUCGGCCACAUUGGAACUGAGACACGGUCCAA
rnacentral:rRNA from 1 species